rnacentral:rRNA from 1 species
AACGAACGCUGGCGGCGCGCCUAAUACAUGCAAGUCGAGCGAGAAGACGUAGCAAUACGUUUGUAAAGCGGCGAACGGGUGAGGAAUACAUGGGUAACCUACCCUCGAGUGGGGAAGUAACUAGCCGAAAGGUUAGCUAAUACCGCGUACGCUCCUUGGACUUCGGUUUCAGGGAGGAAAGCGAUACCGUGGGUAUCGCGCUCUUGGAUGGGCUCAUGUCCUAUCAGCUUGUUGGGAGGUAACGGCUCACCAAGGCUUCGACGGGUAGCUGGUCUGAGAGGACGAUCAGCCACACUGGCACUGUGACACGGGCCAGACUCCCUACGGGAGGCAGCAGUAAGGAAUAUUGCGCAAUGGGCGAAAGCC